rnacentral:rRNA from 1 species
GACGAACGCUGGCGGCGUGCCUAAUACAUGCAAGUCGAGCGAAUGACGAGAAGCUUGCUUCUCUGAUUUAGCGGCGGACGGGUGAGUAACACGUGGGCAACCUGCCCUACAGAUCGGGAUAACUCAGGGAAACCUGGGCUAAUACCGGAUAAUCCUUCGAAUCACAUGUUUUGAAGUUGAAAGGCGCUUCGGCGUCACUGUAGGAUGGGCCCGCGGUGCAUUAGCUAGUUGGUGGGGUAACGGCCUACCAAGGCAACGAUGCAUAGCCGACCUGAGAGGGUGAUCGACCACAUUGGGACUGAGACACGGCCCAAACUCCUACGGGAGGCAGCAGUAGGGAAUCUUCCACAAUGGACGAAAGUCAGAUGGAGCAACGCCGCGUGAGUGAUGAAGGUUUUCGGAUCGUAAAACUCUGUUGUAAGGGAAGAACAAGUACGUUAGGAAAUGAACGUACCUUGACGGUACCUUAUUAGAAAGCCACGGCUAACUACGUGCCAGCCGCCGCCGUAACAC